rnacentral:rRNA from 1 species
AUGCAUGCUUUGGAAGCCCUGAUACUGCUGGCCUCGGUGACGGGGGGAUGGGGCUGCCUCUACUCCUGCUGCUACCGCUCCAGGCUGCGAGAGCAGUACGGGCUCAAGGAGAAGCCCUGCGCCGACUGCUGCGUCCACUGGUCCUGCGAGCUCUGCGCCCUGUGUCAGGAGUACCGCGAGCUCAAGAACCGCGGCUUUGACAUGCGCCUCGGGUGGCACGCCAACAUGGAGAAGAUGGGGAAGAGCGCUGCCACCGUCGCGCCUCAGGCUUACUCGGGGAUGACUCGCUAG